AUUGAACGCUGGCGGCAGGCCUAACACAUGCAAGUCGAGCGAGCGGCGGACGGGUGAGUAAUGCCUCGUAAUCUGCCUGGUAGUGGGUGAUAACGUCCGGAACCGGGCGCUAAUACCGCAUACCAUCGGAUGUGCCCAGGUGGGAUUAGCUUGUCGGUGGGGUAAUGGCUCACCUAGGCGACGAUCCCUAGCUGGUCUGAGAGGAUGACCAGCCACACUGGAACUGAGACACGGUCCAGAAUCCUACGGGAGGCAGCAGUGGGGAAUAUUGCGCAAUGGGCGCAAGCCUGAUGCAGCCAUGCCGCGUGUAUGAAGAAGGCCUUCGGGUUGUAAAGUACUUUCAGCAGGGAGGCGUUACCCACAGAAGAAGCACCGGCUAACUCCGUGCCAGCAGCCGCGGUAAUAC
rnacentral:rRNA from 1 species